AGAGUUUGAUCAUGGCUCAGAACGAACGCUGGCGGCAUGCCUAACACAUGCAAGUCGAACGAGGGCCCCGCUUCGGUGGGACCCUAGUGGCGCACGGGUGAGUAACGCGUGGGAACCUGCCCUGUGGUACGGAAUAACUCCGGGAAACUGGAGCUAAUACCGUAUGUGUCCUUUGGGACAAAGAUUUAUCGCCAUGGGAUGGGCCCGCGUAGGAUUAGCUUGUUGGUGGGGUAACGGCCUACCAAGGCUUCGAUCCUUAGCUGGUCUGAGAGGAUGAUCAGCCACACUGGGACUGAGACACGGCCCAGACUCCUACGGGAGGCAGCAGUGGGGAAUAUUGGACAAUGGGCGCAAGCCUGAUCCAGCAACGCCGCGUG
rnacentral:rRNA from 1 species